rnacentral:rRNA from 1 species
GGGGCUUAACCCCGGUAUUGCAGUGGGUACGGGCAGACUAGAGUGCAGUAGGGGAGACUGGAAUUCCUGGUGUAGCGGUAAAAUGCGCAGAUAUCAGGAGGAACACCGAUGGCGAAGGCAGGUCUCUGGGCUGUAACUGACGCUGAGAAGCGAAAGCAUGGGGAGCGAACAGGAUUAGAUACCCUGGUAGUCCAUGCCGUAAACGUUGGGCACUAGGUGUGGGGGACAUUCCACGUUUUCCGCGCCGUAGCUAACGCAUUAAGUGCCCCGCCUGGGGAGUACGGCCGCAAGGCUAAAACUCAAAGGAAUUGACGGGGGCCCGCACAAGCGGCGGAGCAUGCGGAUUAAUUCGAUGCAACGCGAAGAACCUUACCAAGGCUUGACAUAUACUGGACCGCCUCAGAGAUGGGGUUUCCCUUCGGGGCUGGUAUACAGGUGGUGCAUGGUUGUCGUCAGCUCGUGUCGUGAGAUGUUGGGUUAAGUCCCGCAACGAGCGCAACCCUCGUUCUAUGUUGCCAGCACGCUAUGGUGGGGACUCAUAGGAGACUGCCGGGGUCAACUCGGAGGAAGGUGGGGAUGACGUCAAAUCAUCAUGCCCCUUAUGUCUUGGGCUUCACGCAUGCUACAAUGGCCGGUACAAAGGGUUGCGAUACUGUGAGGUUGAGCUAAUCCCAAAAAGCCGGUCUCAGUUCGGAUUGGGGUCUGCAACUCGACCCCAUGAAGUCGGAGUCGCUAGUAAUCGCAGAUCAGCAACGCUGCGGUGAAUACGUUCCCGGGCCUUGUACACACCGCCCGUCAAGUCACGAAAGUUGGUAACACCCGAAGCCGAUGGCCUAACCCUUUUGGGAGGGAGUCGUCGAAGGUGGGAUUGGCGAUUGGGACUAAGUCGUAACAAGGUACCAAUCCCGCGG